rnacentral:lncRNA from 1 species
AACAAGGCGCAUCUUAAUUACUUUUACUGGCUACUUGCUGCUCUCAGUGUCAUGGGAUUGGCCUUCUUCACUUUCUUUAGUAAAUCUUACAUUUACAAUAACAAAGGUAUCAGACGACAAUAGACAAUUCUUCUUUUUCAUAGCUAUAUGGAGUGAAAAUUUUAUUUUGAUUGUCCAGGUAAACCCUCUUAUUCAGUGUACCUGUUGUUGUAUUUGGACUUUAAAAUAUAAACGACUUGUGUUUAAAAAAAUAUAUGGAGUUAGACAGUGAAUUAAGAGUAAUGGUCUAUUUUAUUGUAUGAAUUGAGCUAAUCUAGCCCUUAAGAAUGAGGGCCAAUGUGAAGGGUGUCAAACAGUCAUACCACCUAAAGCAUUCAGAACCUCAAAUCAUCCUUUAUUUAGACCAUGUUUGGUUGAGGUUGAGAGUGGAAAGGGAAAGAAAAGAACGAAAAGAUACUCGCGCAAGUUAGAUUCUUUGAAUUUAAGAAAGUUAAAAGUGAGUAAUGAAAAAUUUGUAAAUUAUAUGAUUGGCGUGACUAAAAAAGAUAUUAAAAUAAUUAUAUAACUUAGAAAUUUAUGAUAAUACUCUUAUCUUAAAGUUGAAAAUGUUAAUAUAUUUUUAUUAAAAACUAAAUGUUUAUAUGUAUCAAUGUUUAUAUGUUAUAGAAAAAUUAGUUUGAAGUUUGUAAUUAUAGAAAAAAAUUGAGACUUAAAAAUUUGGGUAGAACCAAUAUUAUUAAUUAAAGGUGGAUUAUAUUUGUUAUAUUUGGACCAUGGUUAUGGAAAAGAAAUGUGAAAAUAGGUGUACAUGAAAUAUAAUAAUUGUCUAACUUAUACUAGGAUUUAUCAUCGUAUUUUAGCCAUUCACAUGGUGUUCAAUCCAUGAAUUUAAACUCAUCAAUAAUUCUUAAACUCAAACAAUUGAAUAAAUUUUUUUAAUGUUUAGAGACAUAAUUACAAAAAAGGAAAAUCUAUGAUCAAUAAGUUAUACUUAAAAACUAGCUAUAUUCUUGUUCUAGUCAAAAGUACCUCAAUAUCAUUCUUAUGGUUUCUUGCUAAAACAUUUAGAAUUGAGUAAGUUUCUCCAUAUUGGUAGAUACAGUUAGUUGUUUUGUUAUUCUAAGGUCUUUAACCAAUAUCAUUUAUCUCUUAAAAGUUUGUAUUUUUCCCAAUCAAUUUCAAAUAUAGCAGUUCUUGUGAUUUUUCUCUAAAAUUGCGACUAGUUUUAUUGAAUCUCUUUAUUAGUGAUUAAUGACCAUAUAACUAACUCAUUAGAUUUAUGAACUCUGAAUCCCCUGAAUCAUUAAGCUUUCUGCGAAAAUCAAAGCUUUCUGAAAAAUGCACAGCAGAAGCUCACAUCUGAGAAUUGAGGUCAAGUUGGUUUAAGUAAAGAAUAUACAUGCAACAAGAUUCUGGCAUCCAACCAAUUGUUGAUUUAUUCACAAUGAAUAGCAUCUAAUAUCAAUUCCAAACAUACAUUAAUUUUAAGGGUUUUGUUAUUGAGUUUCCAAGGCCCCGUUAAGGGGCUGUUAAUAAACUGUUAGAUACUUAACAAGUAUGAAAUGGUGGGUUAUUGAUACAAUAAUUAGGUUCCUUUUCAUAAUAGUUUUUACUUUUGUUUCCUUAACUGGUUAUCUAGAAAAAUGCUUAGCGAAUUCCUAAUUUUAAAAUGAAAUAGUGGUGUUAAGAUAAGACGGAAAUAGAACCUUAUCCAUGUUUGGCACAAGUUCUUGAAGCUUUCUAACAGGUGGCCGGAGUUGAGCGGAAGCUGGGAAGUCUGGCGGCGGAAUUGGGUUGCACGGCCGUGAUCGUGAUGUGUGGGGGGUGGGGGAUCGGAGGUGGAGCAGAGUAGAGCAGAACAGAGCCUCUGUUCUCUCCUAAUGGAUUAGUGGACCUCACCUUCCAUCUCUCUCCUCCAAUCCACUUCACCCUAUUGCAAGGGUCCCACCUUUCACCUUCACCUUCACCUGAAUCAAUUAUUGGUUUUUAAUAAUGAUUAGGAUAAAAAUAAUUUUAUUCAGAAAUGAAUUGGAAAGUUUGGAAGAGGUGUAUAAGGGCUAAAGGGGAGAUAUUUAGGGGGAUUUAUUAGGAAGAGUGGAAAAAAAAGGGUGAGAAAUUAAGGUGAAGAGAAAUCGGAGGAUGGGGAAGGGAUUGGAAGAAGCAGUGGGAGCAGAGGAGGAGGAGGAGAGGGACGAUGUGGUGGAUGGUGCGGUGGACUUCAGAGGUGGAACCGCCGUGAGAUCCAAAUCUGGGUCGUGGAGAUCCGCGGGGCUUAUCAUAGGUAAGGUAGUGAUUAAUUGAAGUUGAAAUUGAAUUAAGGAGGAGUUUAACAUUAACAUGUGUGAAAUCGGAAUCAGGUGUGGAAGUGGCGGAGAGAAUUGCGUAUUAUGGGAUUCAGGGGAACAUGAUAUCGUAUCUCACCGGACCUCUCCGUCAGAGCACGGCCACCGCCGCAGAGAACAUCAAUGUCUGGUCGGGAACUGCUUCCUUGCUUCCUCUGCUUGGGGCUUUCCUCGCCGAUUCCUUUCUCGGCCGCUACCGCAC